rnacentral:tRNA from 5 species
GCCGAGAUAGCUCAAUGGUAGAGCAAUACUUUCGUAAAGUAGAGGUUAUGGGUUCGAGUCCCAUUCUCGGCUCAA